rnacentral:rRNA from 2 species
ACAUGCAAGUCGAGCGAAUGGAUUAAGAGCUUGCUCUUAUGAAGUUAGCGGCGGACGGGUGAGUAACACGUGGGUAACCUACCCAUAAGACUGGGAUAACUCCGGGAAACCGGGGCUAAUACCGGAUAAUAUUUUGAACUGCAUAGUUCGAAAUUGAAAGGCGGCUUCGGCUGUCACUUAUGGAUGGACCCGCGUCGCAUUAGCUAGUUGGUGAGGUAACGGCUCACCAAGGCGACGAUGCGUAGCCGACCUGAGAGGGUGAUCGGCCACACUGGGACUGAGACACGGCCCAGACUCCUACGGGAGGCAGCAGUAGGGAAUCUUCCGCAAUGGACGAAAGUCUGACGGAGCAACGCCGCGUGAGUGAUGAAGGCUUUCGGGUCGUAAAACUCUGUUGUUAGGGAAGAACAAGUGCUAGUUGAAUAAGCUGGCACCUUGACGGUACCUAACCAGAAAGCCACGGCUAACUACGUGCCAGCAGCCGCGGUAAUACGUAGGUGGCAAGCGUUAUCCGGAAUUAUUGGGCGUAAAGCGCGCGCAGGUGGUUUCUUAAGUCUGAUGUGAAAGCCCACGGCUCACCCGUGGAGGGUCAUUGGAAACUGGGAGACUUGAGUGCAGAAG